AGCGAAAUGCGAUAACUAAUGUGAAUUGCAGAAUUCAGUGAAUCAUSGAGUCUUUGAACGCACCUUGCGCCCUUUGGUAUUCCAAAGGGCAUGCCUGUUUGAGUGUCAUU
rnacentral:rRNA from 1 species